ACGAUGGAUCACAUACGCGCGAAACUGUAGAUGCUUCAAGCAACGUUAGUGCGCGCGCCGUUAUCGACAAUGCCCUCAUCUACCGAAAGUUGCGUCGAUCUGUUUGCAACGACAAGCAUUCUGAACAAGAGUAGACCAAUUGAGGCUGCCACAAGUGUCCUUGAAAAUGUAAAAAUACUUGCCAGUGGAAGCUGCUUGGGGAAUGUGGAGGCCAUGCGUUUUAUUCAGCUACGCCACCUAUGAAGAACUGUAUGUAAACGUGUCAGACUGAUACAACAUUAUUUGACGGCACUCAAUAUUCUGUUGCAACAAAAAUA